rnacentral:rRNA from 1 species
AAUAGAUACCCAGGUAGUCCACGCCGUAAACGAUGAGUGCUAAGUGUUAGAGGGUUUCCGCCCUUUAGUGCUGCGGCUAACGCAUUAAGCACUCCGCCUGGGGAGUACGGUCGCAAGACUGAAACUCAAAGGAAUUGACGGGGGCCCGCACAAGCGGUGGAGCAUGUGGUUUAAUUCGAAGCAACGCGAAGAACCUUACCAGGUCUUGACAUCCUCUGACAACUCUAGAGAUAGAGCGUUCCCCUUCGGGGGACAGAGUGACAGGUGGUGCAUGGUUGUCGUCAGCUCGUGUCGUGAGAUGUUGGGUUAAGUCCCGCAACGAGCGCAACCCUUGAUCUUAGUUGCCAGCAUUUAGUUGGGCACUCUAAGGUGACUGCCGGUGACAAACCGGAGGAAGGUGGGGAUGACGUCAAAUCAUCAUGCCCCUUAUGACCUGGGCUACACACGUGCUACAAUGGAUGGUACAAAGGGCUGCAAGACCGCGAGGUCAAGCCAAUCCCAUAAAACCAUUCUCAGUUCGGA